UAUCUCUGUAGAGUCUGCAUAUCAAUAAGCGGAGGAAAAGAAACUAACAAGGAUUCCCCUAGUAACGGCGAGUGAAGCGGGAAGAGCUCAAAUUUGAAAUCUUCAAGGUUUGACCUUGACGAAUUGUAGUUUAAAGAAGUGUUUUCGGUUAGAGGAGUAGUAAAAGUUCUUUGGAAUAGGACAUCAUAGAGGGUGAGAAUCCCGUAUUUGACUAUUCUUUCUAGCUUUGUGAUACACUUUCAAAGAGUCGGAUUGUUUGGGAAUGCAGUCCAAAAUGGGUGGUAAAUUUCAUCUAAAGCUAAAUAUUGGCGAGAGACCGAUAGCGAACAAGUACCGUGAGGGAAAGAUGAAAAGAACUUUGAAAAGAGAGUUAAACAGUACGUGAAAUUGUCAAAAGGGAAGCGUUUGACACCAGUGUUGUUUUUCCGAAAAUCAAUUAAAAAUUGAUUCAUGCCAGGUUGUAUUGACCUUAUCAGCUUGCAAUUUGGUUUUGGGUCUCUUUUUGAUGCACUUUUCGGUUAACAAGGUCAACAUCAAUUUCCUUUGCUGUAAAAAGGUAAGAGGAAGGUGGCUUCAAUUUCGGUUGAAGUGUUUAGUAGCCUUUUAUCUCUGCAGUCGGGGAGAUUGAGGUCUGCAGCGUAGAUCCUUCGGGGCUAGAUACAUUUAUGCUAAGUUAUAGCUUUUCAUAGACAACUUGUUGACUAUGUUUAGUCAUGUAGCUUACUCGUAAGUGCUAUUUUACCUACGCUUAGGAUGUUGAAGACUCUACAGAGAUA
rnacentral:rRNA from 1 species